rnacentral:rRNA from 1 species
GACGAACGCUGGCGGCGUGCUUAACACAUGCAAGUCGAACGGAAAGGCCCUGCUUUUGUGGGGUGCUCGAGUGGCGAACGGGUGAGUAACACGUGAGUAACCUGCCCUUGACUUUGGGAUAACUUCAGGAAACUGGGGCUAAUACCGGAUAGGAGCUCCUGCUGCAUGGUGGGGGUUGGAAAGUUUCGGCGGUUGGGGAUGGACUCGCGGCUUAUCAGCUUGUUGGUGGGGUAGUGGCUUACCAAGGCUUUGACGGGUAGCCGGCCUGAGAGGGUGACCGGCCACAUUGGGACUGAGAUACGGAGCAGAAUCCUACGGGAGGCAGCAGUGGGGAAUAUUGCACAAUGGGCGGAAGCCUGAUGCAGCAACGCCGCGUACGGGAUGACGGCCUUCGGGUUGUAAACCGCUUUCGCCUGUGACGAAGCGUGAGUGACGGUAAUGGGUAAAGAAGCACCGGCUAACUACGUG